rnacentral:lncRNA from 1 species
ACAAGUAUGAAUGGUUUAGUUAAAAAAUCCUUCUAUGAAGCGAUAAUGAAAGAAGGAAGAAGAGAUCACAUCAGUCCCCACCUUAGCCUUAGAUCUGCGGAUAGAAAAGAGAGUAGAAGCAUAUCUACAGUUUACGGCUUCACACGAACCAGUACUACAAGGAAUAUGAUAAGUGCUACACCAAAAACUCGGAAUGAUAUAUAUAUAUAUAAGAUAAAAGAGAAAAAAAGAAAUGGAGAAAACGAGAACUAGGGUUUCUUACCUCACCGGUGAUCAGAUCUAGAAAGAAUACAAGACAUAUCUAGACAACGAGAGAGAUCGGCUAGUUGUGGAUCUCCAAUGGCUUAACUCGCCCCCAUCAAGACAAGAAAACUCGAAGGUGACAACUACACAACAGAAAACGAGAGCUACCUGCUUUCAUGGCGUCCAUAUUGAGAAGAGAAAGAGGAAGAUAAGAAGAAGAAAAAGAUUUAGAAGACGAAAUAGAAGGAGACGGUUAGACCAACAAUCCGACAGAGCUCUGCUACGUUUUCUCUCUUGUGUGAAAACCUAAGGGACUGCCCCCUUUUUAUAGGAGAGGAGAUUAGUAUGCAGGCCAAAAAAGAAGAGAAAUGAAUAAUGGACUUUGGACCAAAACAAGUUAGUUAAAAAAACCAUCUCGGUUUAAGAGAAACUGGAUGUGACAACUCUUCCCCACUCAAUAGGGAAUUACUUUCAAGUUCUAUUUGGAACACAGAAUAACUCGACCGUUAAGAAAAUGAACUUAUUCGGGUCAUAUUGGUUUGAAUCGAGACUGACACUCAAGGUUAAGACUAGAGAGUCUUUCAUGGGCUCUAAUUCCACUUGUGUCACUCCGAACCAACAUAGCUAAAAUGGUUGGCGAUAUCAGUACACUUGUCUUCUGCCACAAGGACCGAAACAAUAUGUCUUUCAACAAAGUAGGUUCUCAUGACGCCUUUGACAAACUCUCACUAAUAUGAACCGAACAUGCAAAAGGAAAGGGAAGAAGGGUGAACAUUUCGACAAAAGCUCAGUGAGGAAAGAUUUAGGAGCGAUGAAAUUAUCACCUGACAUUCACCACACACCAU